UACGGAGGGUGCAAGCGUUGUUCGGAAUCACUGGGCGUAAAGCGCGCGCAGGCGGGACGUGCAAGUCGGAAGUGAAAUCUCGGGGCUCAACUCCGAGGCUGCUCCCGAUACUGCCGACCUGGAGACCAGUAGAGGUGGGUAGAAUUCCCGGUGUAGCGGUGGAAUGCGUAGAGAUCGGGAAGAACACCAACGGCGAAAGCACUCUGCUGGGCCGACACUGACACUGAGAGACGAAAGCUAGGGGAGCGAAUGGG
rnacentral:rRNA from 1 species